UGCCCUGCCACGCACACUCCCAUGAAAUCUGCUUAGCAUGCCAAUAGGCCUGGAAGCAUUCACGAGGCAAAGAGUUUCACGGAAGAUCACCUCCUGGUGUUCUGGCAUUUUCAUUAACCCAUAUACUCAUACCUUCUUCCUGAGUUAGUCUGGUGUAUGGAUCCAUGUGCUCUCUUUUAGUAUUAUCUUCUUAUGAGUGCCUUUUAAGAUUGAAUUCUGACAUAGCUAAGCCUUCACCAAUGUUCCAAAGUCUUAGAAAGUCCUUGAGCUGACCAUGGGCUUGGAAUUCAGUAAGAAUGUUGCCUAUUCAGUGAUAUUCAGAAUUGCCUCUGGUAUUACACUAUCACUUAGAAUAAAAGCCAAGUUGCUCCCAUAUGCAGGAAUUUACAAUGGUUUAGGAAGUAGAUCGGGCUGUGGUCUUAUAGUAUUGCAUUAUUCAUGAGAUGGUUAGCUAGAACGGAACUCCCUAAUUAAACCAUGACUUGGGUGUGAAAGCCCUUGCCCUAGGAGUGUAAAGACCUCACACCUGGCUUCUAAGACUAUAGCUGUUAUUUUAUUGCCCAGUUCUUGCCAGUCUUUGUGUUUACAUUCCUCUGUUUUGUGUAAGAGUCAUUAAGCAUCCGGUAACCUCAUUUGUACCUUGCUGAUGUGUCACCUAACUUCCCUAUUUUCUUCUGUAUAAAAAGUUUGAUGAUCAAUUUGACAAAUUACAUUCAGAUUCUACACAACCUCUCCUGUGUGCAUCUGUCUGUCAUUUCAUCCAAGGCUUUGCACACCUGCGACUAGAAUCCUGUUCCACGCACACAAAGGGGCCCAGAGGGUCAGCGGCAGAUUUGACGCCCGAACAGGGACACCAGAGCAGAAUGCUGCAAGAACAUGCUAGCUUCCAAUGUGACAGGCUGACCUGUGAGUAGGAACUGACAGUGCCCUGACAGUGAUGACAAGAAAGCUGUAUUGAGCAUACAGAGAAGGAGAAAUCGGAGAGAGCACACACAAGCAAAAUAAAGAAACUCUUCCUAUCUCUGCCAUGGGCUACAGCAAGGAGAGCCAAACUGGUGUCAACUUGGGGACAACUAAAAAAGCUGACUCGUGAGGCGGCAGGACUGCUACAGAGUAUUGGACAAGAUUUCAUCAGAGACAUUGUUUUUGGCCAUUCAGGCCAACUCCCCUAUAGCUGUAAAAGCUUGUGUACCUUACCUGUAUGCUAUAUUGUUAGAUAAGUUUAAGAGUUAAGAUCACCAAUAUUGGCAAGUCUUUUCAUAUUCAUUGUAAUUCUUGUCAAUUAACUAAUUGUGUAGAUCCUAAUUUAGAUAAGGAAUCUGCUGUUAAGAUUUUGUUAAAGAGACCUGCUUAUAUUUUGCUGCCUAUUAGAGUUAGGCAAUGAUCCUUGGUUUAAAAAUCUGGGAAUGCAAACUUUGAAAAGUUAUCUACCACAGCCUUAGCUCAGCAGCUGCAUACUGCUCAUUUUUGUUAAUGAUAAGCAUAGGAAUAUUUCCAUAGCUUUGUCAGAGCAACAUAUUAUAUAGGUAAAAAAUUGGAAGCAAAGGUUAAUGCCAUAGAAGAAGUAGUGCUGGCAAUAGGGCAAGAUGUUGCAAAUAUUAAGAUCAGGUUAGCUACUAAAUAUCAUGCUUCUUUCCAAUACAUUUGUGCCACCCCCUUACCUUAUAUUACAACCAUUUAUUGAGAAAAGACUAAAGCUCAUUUUCAGGGAGUAUGGAGAGAUACUGAUAUUUCUCAUAACUUGGAACAGUUAAAGGCAGACAUUUUAGAUAUUAGUAAAAGUCAUUUGGACACUUGGAACACUGAUGAAUUGGAUACAGAUUAAAAAAAAUAACCUAAGUGCAUUGAACCCUCUAGAUUGGUUCAAUAUAUAAUCAUACUUAUUACUAUUGGCAUUGUUUUAUUAGUAAUUGUUGUGUUUCCACUCAUCUUUAGAGAGCUCCUGAGAUAUGUAGCUACAACUAGGCAGGACAUCCUGGAACGUCGACUGAAAAAAAGAAAAAAGGAAAGGGGUAAAUGCCAUGCACAGUACUGUGAACUCUGCUUGGCAGGCCAAGAGUCCUGGAAGCAUUCACAAGGCAAAGAGUUUCAUGGAGGCUAACGUCCUGGAGUUCUGGCAUUCUCAUUAACCCAUAUACUCAUACCCUAUUCUCAAGUUAGUCUGGUGUAUGGAUCCACGGGCUCUCAUUUAGUACUAUCUUAUUAUAAGUGCCUUUUAUGAUUAAAUUCUGACAUAGCUAAGCCUUCACCAAUGUUCCAACAUCCUAGAAAGUCCUUGAGCUGACCAUGGGCUUGGAAUUCAGUAAGAAUGUUGCCUAUUCAGUGAUAUUCAGAAUUGCCUCUGAUAUUACACUAUCACAUAGAAUAAUAAAAGCCAAGUUGUUCCCAUAUACAGGAAUUUACAAUGGUUUAGGAAGUAGAUCAGGCUGUGGUUUUAGAGUAUUGCAUUAUUCAUGAGAUGGUUAGCUAGAACGGAACUCCCUAAAUAGAACCAUGACUUGGGUGUGAAAGCCCUUGCCCUAGGAGUGUAAAGACCUCACACUUCUGGCUUCUAAGACUAUAGCUGACCUUAUAUAGGGCUGACUUUGUCUCAGUUAUUUUGUUGCCCAGUUCUUGCCAGUCUUUGUGUUUACAUUCCUCUGUUUUGUGUAAGAGUCAUUAAGCAUCCGGUAACCUCAUUUGUACCUUGCUGAUGUGUCACCUAACUUCCCUAUUUUCUUCUGUAUAAAAAGUUUGAUGCUCAGUUUGACAAAUUACAUACAGAUUCUACACAACAUCUCCUGUGUGCAUCUGUCUGUCAUUUCAUCCAACCCUUUGCAACACCUGCGACUAGAAAACUGUUCCACAGAGAUAAAGGGGCCCAGAGGGUCUGGGGCACUGCCCCCCAUUUUGCUUCUCCCCUGACCCUCUUUCACCCAGAUCCCUCUCUCCCUCUGCCUCCAGUGAUUAUUUUCUUCACCCUUCUAAGUGGGAUUGAAGCAUCAUUGCUUGGGCCUUCUUUCUUGUUAAACUUCUUAUAGUCUAUGUGUUUUAUCCUAGGGGUUCUGUACAUUUGGGCUAAUAUCCACUUAUUAGGAGAUAACCAGCUAGACAAAUGUAUUGUUUAGCAUGCGCAUAGUGGCAUGUACACACACAUAAGCACAUCAGAAAUGCAUAUACAGGUAGUAGUAUGUAAUAAAUGUAAAUGACUUUAAGACCCACUAGAACUUCAGCCCCUUCUCCAACGGUAUUUGAUGCUUAUCAUCAUCCUACCUACUUCUGAUGGACUCUCUCCUUCCAUUUUUAUAUGGGUUCAAAGGACCCAACUCAGAUGGUCAGGCUCGCUCUGUAAG
rnacentral:lncRNA from 1 species